rnacentral:rRNA from 1 species
UACAGAGGUCUCAAGCGUUGUUCGGAUUUAUUGGGCGUAAAGGGCGCGUAGGCGGCGGGGUAAGUCGGGUGUGAAAUCUCAGGGCUCAACCCUGAAACUGCACUUGAUACUGCUCUGCUUGAGGACUGGAGAGGAGACUGGAAUUCACGGUGUAGCAGUGAAAUGCGUAGAUAUCGUGAGGAAGACCAGUGGCGAAGGCGGGUCUCUGGACAAAUACUGACGCUGAGGCGCGAGAGCGUGGGGAGCAAACAGG